AGUGAACGCUGGCGGUAUGCCUAACACAUGCAAGUCGAACGGCAGCACAGUAAUAGCUUGCUCUUACGGGUUUCGAGUGGCGGACGGGUGAGGAAUACAUCGGAAUCUACUUUUUCGUGGGGGAUAACGUAGGGAAACUUACGCUAAUACCGCAUACGACCUACGGGUGAAAGCAGGGGAUCUUCGGAUCUUGCGCGAAUGAAUGAGCCGAUGUCGCAUUAGCUAGUUGGCGGGGUAAAGGCCCACCAAGGCGACGAUCCGUAGCUGGUCUGAGAGGGUGAUCGGCCACACUGGAACUGAGACACGGCCCAGACUCCUACGGGAGGCAGCAGUGGGGAAUAUUGGACAAUGGGCGCAAGCCUGAUCCAGCCACACCGCGUGGGUGAAGAAGGCCUUCGGGUUGUAAAGCCCUUUUGUUGGGAAAGAAAAGCAGCAGGUUAAUACCACGCUGUUCUGACGGUACCCAAAGAAUAAGCAACGGCUAACUUCGUG
rnacentral:rRNA from 1 species